GACGAACGCUGGCGGCGUGCCUAACACAUGCAAGUCGAACGGUGAAACAAGAGCUUGCUCUUCUGGAUCAGUGGCGAACGGGUGAGUAACACGUGAGUAACCCGCCCCAGACUCUGGAAUAAGCGCUGGAAACGGCGUCUAAUAUCGGAUACGAGACAGAGCAGCAUGGCUACUGUCUGGAAAGUUUUUCGGUCUGGGAUGGACUCGCGGCCUAUCAGCUUGCUGGUGAGGUAGCGGCUGACGAAGCCAACGACGGAUAGCCGGCCUGGGAGGGCGGACGGCCACACUGGGACUGAGAGACGGCGCAGACUGCUACGGGAGGCAGCAGGGGGGAGUCUUGCACAGUGGGCGAGAGCCUGAUACGGCGGCGCCGCGUGAGGAAAGACGGCCUUCGGGGUAUGAACCUCUUUCAGCGGAGAAGAAGCGAAAGUGACGGUACCUGCAGAAGAAGCACCGGCUAACUACGUG
rnacentral:rRNA from 1 species